rnacentral:lncRNA from 10 species
GUUUAAAAGCAGGCCGGAGCCGGGUGCGGUGGCUCACGCUUGUAAUCCCAACACUUUGGAAGGCCGAGGCGGGCGAUCACCUGAGGUCGUGAGUUCGAGACCAGCCUGACCAACAUGGAGAAACCCCCGUCUCUACUAAAAAUACAAAAUUAGCCGGGCGUAGUGGCGCAUGCCUGUAAUCCCUACUCGGGAGCCUGAGGCAGGAGAAUCGCUUGAACCCAGGAGGCGGAGGUUGCGGUGAGCCGAGAUCGCGCCAUUGCACCCCAGCAUGGAAAACAAGAGCGCAACUCCGUCUCAAAAAAAAAAAAAAAAAAAAAAGAAAGAUAGAAAAGAAAAAGAAAAAAAGCACCGGGCGCCAUACAGCUCACAAAUGUACUGAAAAAGAAAAGCGCUGGGGCGGAGCGCGGUGGCUCGCGCCUGUACUCCCAGCGCGCGAGUUCGAGACCAGCCUGGGCAACAUGGUGAAGCCCCGUCUCUACUAAAAAUACAAAAAAUUAGCCGGGC